rnacentral:rRNA from 1 species
CGUAAACAGAGGGAAGCGAGCCUGCGAGGGGGAGCGAAUCCCAAAAAUAACGUCCCAAUUCGGAUUGUAGUCUGCAACCCGACUACAUGAAGCUGGAAUCGCUAGUAAUCGCGGAUCAGAAUGCCGCGGUGAAUACGUUCCCGGGUCUUGUACACACCGCCCGUCACACCAUGGGAGUCGGAAAUGCCCGAAGUCUGUGACCCAACCUACGGGAGGGAGCAGCCGAAGGCAGGUCGGAUGACUGGGGUGAAGUCGUAACAAGGUACC